UGGUAAGUAGUUUAAACAAAAUAAAUGAUUUCGACUCAUUAGAUUAUGAUAAUCAUACUAACCAA
rnacentral:tRNA from 1 species